CCUGCUCAAUGAAAACUUAAAUAGCCGCAGAUUCUGUGCUAAGGUAGCAUAAUCACUUGUUUUUUAAUUAAAAACUGGAAUGAAAGGAAAAACAUUUAAAUAUUUUUAUUAUUGAUAUUAAUCUAACUUUUAUUAAAUAUAAAAAUAUAUUUAUUAUAUAAAAAGACGAUAAGACCCUAUUGAACUUAACUUUUGUUUAGCUGGGGCAGCUAAUAAAAUUAAAUUUUUAUUUAUACUAAUCUAUAAAUAUCCUAUAUAAUUGAUUUAUAUUUAGUUACCAUAGGGAUAACAGCGUAAUAUUAUUUAAAAGUUCUUAUUUAAAAUAAUGUUUACGACCUCGAUGUUGAAUUAUUAUCUCUUUAUUUAACGCAAUAGUUAUAAUAGUAGGUCUGUUCGACCUUUAAAAUAAUACA
rnacentral:rRNA from 1 species